rnacentral:rRNA from 1 species
GACCUGGUGGUUAUGGCGGAGCGGCUGCACCCGAUCCCAUUCCGAACUCGGCCGUGAAACGCUCCAGCGCCAAUGGUACUUUGUCUUAAGACACGGGAGAGUAGGUCGCUGCCAGGUCU